rnacentral:rRNA from 1 species
UACGAAGGGGGCUAGCGUUGCUCGGAAUGACUGGGCGUAAAGGGCGCGUAGGCGGUGAACACAGUUAGGCGUGAAAUUCCCGGGCUCAACCUGGGGGCUGCGUUUAAUACAUGUUCGCUUGAGUUCGGAAGAGGGUCGUGGAAUUCCCAGUGUAGAGGUGAAAUUCGUAGAUAUUGGGAAGAACACCAGUGGCGAAGGCGGGUCUCUGGACAGUUCCUGACGCUGAGGCGCGAAGGCCAGGGGAGCAAACGGG